rnacentral:rRNA from 1 species
GAUGAACGCUGGCGGCGUGCCUAAUACAUGCCAGUCGAGCGAACAGAUGAGGAGCUUGCUCCUCUGACGUUAGCGGCGGACGGGUGAGUAACACGUGGAUAACCUACCUAUAAGACUGGGAUAACUUCGGGAAACCGGAGCUAAUACCGGAUAAUAUAUUGAACCGCAUGGUUCAAUAGUGAAAGACGGUUUUGCUGUCACUUAUAGAUGGAUCCGCGCCGCAUUAGCUAGUUGGUAAGGUAACGGCUUACCAAGGCAACGAUGCGUAGCCGACCUGAGAGGGUGAUCGGCCACACUGGAACUGAGACACGGUCCUGACUCCUACGGGAGGCAGCAGUAGGGAAUCUUCCGCAAUGGGCGAAAGCCUGACGGAGCAACGCCGCGUGAGUGAUGAAGGUCUUCUGAUCGUAAAACUCUGUUAUUAGGGAAGAACAAAUGUGUAAGUAACUAUGCACGUCUUGACGGUACCUAAUCAGAAAGCCACGGCUAACUACGUG